GGCCUAUCAGCUUGUUGGGGAUGCUACAGGCGACGACGGUAGCCGGCCUGAGAGGGCGACCGGCCACAACAUGGGACUGAGACACGGCCCAGACUCCUACGGGAGGCAGCAGUGGGGAAUAUUGCACAAUGGGCGAAAGCCUGAUGACAGACGACGCCGCGUGAGGGAUGACGUGCCAUUCGGGUUGUAAACCUCUUUCAGCAGGGAAGAAUGCGAAAGUGACGGUACCUGCAGAAGAAGCAGCCGGCUAACUACGUGCCAGCAGCCGCAGGUAAUACGUAGGGCGCAAGCGUUGUCCGGAAUUAUUGGGCGUAAAGAGCUCGUAGGUCGGCUUGUCACGUCGGUUGUGAAAGCCCGGGGCUUAACCCCGGGUCUGCAGUCGAUACGGUGCAGGCUAGAGUGUGGUAGGGGAGAUCGGAAUUCACUGGUGUAGCGGUGAAAUGCGCAGAUAUCAAGGAGGAACACCGGUGGCGAAGGCGGAUCUCUGGGCCAUUACUGACGCUGAGGAGCGAAAGCGUGGGGAGCGAACAGGAUUAGAUACCCUGGUAGUCCACGCCGUAAACGUUGGGAACUAGGUGUUGGCGACAUUCCACGUCGUCGGUGCCGCAGCUAACGCAUUAAGUUCCCCGCCUGGGGAGUACGG
rnacentral:rRNA from 1 species